rnacentral:rRNA from 1 species
GACGAACGCUGGCGGCGUGCUUAACACAUGCAAGUCGAACGGAAAGGCCCUGCUUUUGUGGGGUGCUCGAGUGGCGAACGGGUGAGUAACACGUGAGUAACCUGCCCUUGACUUUGGGAUAACUUCAGGAAACUGGGGCUAAUACCGGAUAGGAGCUCCUGCUGCAUGGUGGGGGUUGGAAAGUUUCGGCGGUUGGGGAUGGACUCGCGGCUUAUCAGCUUGUGGGUGGGGUAGUGGCUUACCAAGGCUUUGACGGGUAGCCGGCCGGAGAGGGUGACCGGCUCCAGUGGUAUUGAGCAGCGCCCCAGACUCCUUCGGGAGGCAUUAGUGGUGAAUAUUGCACAAUGGACGGAAGCCCUAUCCAGCAACGCCGCUUGCGGGAUGACGGCCUUCGGGUUGUAAACCGUUUUCGCCUGUGACGAAGUGUGAGUGACGGUAAUGGGUAAAGAAGCACCGGCUAACUACGUG